rnacentral:rRNA from 1 species
UACUCCUACGGGAGGCAGCAGUGGGGAAUAUUGGUCAAUGGGCGGAAGCCUGAUCCAGCCAUGCCGCGUGUGUGAAGAAGGCCUUAUGGUUGUAAAUCACUUUAAGCGAGGAGGAGGGUACUUUAGUUAAUUCCUAGAGAUAGUGGACGU